UUCUCGGCGCCCUGAUCUUACAUAUCCAUUAUCACCCCAUCUCCGAUUCCCGAUGCGGAGACUAGGUGAACUGUUGCAGUUGAUGUUGUAAUAAAAUUCA